AUGAAACCAAUGGUGUCACACUGUGGCCUGGGCCCCUCCUCUCCUCGCUCACCUCACAGCUCAGGUUCCCUGGUCCAGGCAGCGGUGACUCAGCCACCCUCGCUGUCACACAACGUGGGAGACACCGUCAGGAUCACCUGCUCUGGGAUCAGCAGCAGCUAUGCUUAUGCUGGCUGGUACCAGCAGAAGGUCCCUGGCACUGGCCCUGUCACUGUGAUCUACUAUAAUGACAGGAGACCCUCGGGCAUCCCUUCGCGAUUCUCUGGGUCCACAUCUGGCACCACAAACACAUUAACCAUCACUGGGGUCCAAGCCGAGGACGAGGCUGUCUAUUUCUGUGGUAGCAUAGACAGCAGCAGUGGCAGCUAUGGUGUGUGGUGA